rnacentral:rRNA from 1 species
UACGUAGGGCGCAAGCGUUGUCCGGAAUUAUUGGGCGUAAAGAGCUCGUAGGCGGUCUGUCGCGUCUGUUGUGAAAACUCGAGGCUCAACCUCGGGCUUGCAGUGGAUACGGGCAGACUAGAGUGCGGUAGGGGAGACUGGAAUUCCUGGUGUAGCGGUGGAAUGCGCAGAUAUCAGGAGGAACACCGAUGGCGAAGGCGGGUCUCUGGGCCGUAACUGACGCUGAGGAGCGAAAGCAUGGGGAGCGAACAGG